GGGUGCGAUUAUACCAGCACUAAUGCACCGGAUCGUAUCAGAACUCCGCAGUUUAAGCGUGCUUGGGCGAGAGUAGUACUAGGAUGGGUGACUUGGUGAGAAAUCCUCGUGUUGCACCCC
rfam:Gossypium arboreum cultivar AKA8401 contig_202435_1, whole genome shotgun sequence.